GGGGGAUAUUGCACAAUGGGGGAAACCCUGAUGCAGCGACGCCGCGUGGAGGAAGAAGGUUUUCGGAUUGUAAACUCCUGUCGUUAGGGACGAUAAUGACGGUACCUAACAAGAAAGCACCGGCUAACUACGUGCCAGCAGCCGCGGUAAAACGUAGGGUGCAAGCGUUGUCCGGAAUUACUGGGUGUAAAGGGAGCGCAGGCGGGAAGACAAGUUGGAAGUGAAAACCAUGGGCUCAACCCAUGAAUUGCUUUCAAAACUGUUUUUCUUGAGUAGUGCAGAGGUAGAUGGAAUUCCCGGUGUAGCGGUGGAAUGCGUAGAUAUCGGGAGGAACACCAGUGGCGAAGGCGGUCUACUGGGCACCAACUGACGCUGAGGCUCGAAAGCAUGGGUAGCAAACAGGAUUAGAUACCCUGGUAGUCCAUGCCGUAAACGAUGAUUACUAGGUGUUGGGGGAUUGACCCCCUCAGUGCCGCAGUUAACACAAUAAGUAAUCCACCUGGGGAGUACGACCGCAAGGUUGAAACUCAAAGGAAUUGACGGGGGCCCGCACAAGCAGUGGAGUAUGUGGUUUAAUUCGAAGCAACGCGAAGAACCUUACCAGGUCUUGACAUCCGAUGCAUAGCACAGAGAUGUGUGAAAUCCUUCGGGUCAUCGAGACAGGUGGUGCAUGGUUGUCGUCAGCUCGUGUCGUGAGAUGUUGGGUUAAGUCCCGCAACGAGCGCAACCCUUAUUGCCAGUUACUACGUUAAGAGGACUCUGGCGAGACUGCCGUUGACAAAACGGAGGAAGGUGGGGAUGACGUCAAAUCAUCAUGCCCUUUAUGACCUGGGCUACACACGUACUACAAUGGCGUUAAACAAAGAGAAGCAAGACCGCGAGGUGGAGCAAAACUCAAAAACAACGUCUCAGUUCAGAUUGCAGGCUGCAACUCGCCUGCAUGAAGUCGGAAUUGCUAGUAAUCGCGGAUCAGCAUGCCGCGGUGAAUACGUUCCCG
rnacentral:rRNA from 1 species